GACGAACGCUGGCGGCGUGCUUAACACAUGCAAGUCGAACGGAAAGGCCCUGCUUUUGUGGGGUGCUCGAGUGGCGAACGGGUGAGUAACACGUGAGUAACCUGCCCUUGACUUUGGGAUAACUUCAGGAAACUGGGGCUAUUACCGGAUAGGAGCUCUUGCUGCAUGGUGGGGGUUGGAAAGUUUCGGCGGUUGGGGAUGGACUCGCGGCUUAUCAGCUUGUUGGUGGGGUAGUGGCUUACCAAGGCUUUGACGGGUAGCCGGCCUGAGAGGGGGACCGGCCACAAUAGGACUGAGGUACGGCCCAGACUCCUACGGGAGGCAGCAGUGGGGAAUAUUGCACAAUGAGCGGAAGCCAGAUGCAGCAACGCCGCGUGCGGGAUGACGGCCUUCGGGGUGUAAACCGCUUUCGCCGGUGACGAAGCGUGAGUGACGGUAAUGGGUAAAGAAGCACCGGCUAACUACGUG
rnacentral:rRNA from 1 species